rnacentral:rRNA from 1 species
UACGUAGGGGGCAAGCGUUGUCCGGAUUUAUUGGGCGUAAAGAGCGUGUAGGCGGUCAGGUAGGUCCGUUGUGAAAACUCGAGGCUCAACCUCGAGACGCCGAUGGAAACCAUCUGACUAGAGUCCGGAAGAGGAGAGUGGAAUUCCUGGUGGAGCGGUGAAAUGCGUUGAGAUCCACAGGAACUCCGGUGGCGAAGGCGGCCCGCUGGACCCUUACUGACGCUGAGGCGCGAAAGCCAGGGAGCGAACGGG